GCCGCCUUAMCUGCAGUCGAACGGCAGCRCGGGAGCAACCUGGYGRCGAGUGGCGAACGGGUGAGUAAUAUAUCGGAACGUGCCCAGUAGUGGGGGAUAGCCCGGCGAAAGCCGGAUUAAUACCGCAUACGACCUAMGGGUGAAAGCGGGGGAUCGCAAGACCUCGCGCUAUUGGAGCGGCCGAUAUCAGAUUAGSUWGUUGGYGGGGUAAAAGCCYACCAAGSCGACGAUCUGUAGCUGGUCUGAGAGGACGACCAGCCACACUGGGACUGAGACACGGCCCAGACUCCUACGGGAGGCAGCAGUGGGGAAUUUUGGACAAUGGGCGCAAGCCUGAUCCAGCCAUGCCGCGUGYGGGAAGAAGGCCUUCGGGUUGUAAACCRCUUUUGUCAGGGAAGAAAYSKUCUGASYUAAUACSUYGGRMKRAUGACGGUACCUGAAGAAUAAGCACCGGCUAACUACGUGCCAGCAGCCGCGGUAAUACGUAGGGUGCAAGCGUUAAUCGGAAUUACUGGGCGUAAAGCGUGCGCAGGCGGYYUUGCAAGACAGRUGUGAAAUCCCCGGGCUYAACCUGGGAACUGCAYUUGUGACUGCAAGGCURGAGUACGGYAGAGGGGGAUGGAAUUCCGCGUGUAGCAGUGAAAUGCGUAGAUAUGCGRAGGAACACCGAUGGCGAAGGCAAUCCCCUGGACCUGUACUGACGCUCAUGCACGAAAGCGUGGGGAGCAAA
rnacentral:rRNA from 1 species